CACGUAGGGUGCGAGCGUUGUCCGGAAUUAUUGGGCGUAAAGAGCUCGUAGGCGGUGUGUCGCGUCGGCCGUGAAAACCUGCAGCUUAACUGUGGGCUUGCGGUCGAUACGGGCAUCACUGGAGUUCGGCAGGGGAGACUGGAAUUCCUGGUGUAGCGGUGAAAUGCGCAGAUAUCAGGAGGAACACCGGUGGCGAAGGCGGGUCUCUGGGCCGAUACUGACGCUGAGGAGCGAAAGCGUGGGGAGCGAACAG
rnacentral:rRNA from 1 species